ACAUAAACUUAGAGAUAAUAGAGUUGUAUGAAAUUUGAAAUAUUAUUAUAUUAUAUUAUGACGUGGCACCCUCCGUGCUGCAGAUGGCGCUGUGGCCGCUACACGACGUAUACACCUUCACACCAGACGAGGGCGCUGUGAGCUGCUUCUAACCCCUGGGGUUUCCUCUUAGACUCACGUUGAUUGUAAACAGCGGUUCACAUUGUUGUACUUUAUUUUUCUUGUACAUUGUGCACUUUACAUGUGUAAUUCAUAACGCAAAAUGGGUCGCAGCCGAAAACAUGUUGUAAUAGGUUUGCUAAUUAGCUCACGUCAGGCCGGAUAGCUAUUAUGUAGCUAUGCUAAGCUAACGUUACUAGGCAACAGUAGCUAACUAGACCUUAUUCGAGUUACUGUAAAACUUAUCUAAUCAGACACUGGCUGGAAGAGCUGGACGCCAUGAUUAAAUGUUUGCCCAAAGAGGUCCAGGGGAAGCUUCGCUCCGGCGUCGCCAUCCCUUCCCUUCAACAGUGCGUCGAGGAGCUGAUCCUGAACAGCAUCGAUGCCGGAGCGACCUGCGUGGGCGUCCGGAUGGACAUGGACGCGUUUAAAGUUCAGGUCAUCGACAACGGGUCUGGGAUCAGCGCUGGGGACAUGGAGUGCGUGGGCAGCAGGCACUACACGAGCAAAUGCAGCUGCGUGGAGGACCUGGACGACCUCCGGUGGUACGGCUACAGAGGAGAAGCCCUGGCGAGUAUUGUGUCUCUGGCCACGCUCGUUGAAAUCUCAUCGCGCUCCCGAUCAGCAGGGAAAACGCACGUGAAACUCUUCAAAGACGGAAAGAGCUUGGACGCAUUUGAAGCAGACACCGCCCGACCGUCUGCGGGGACGACUGUGCUCGUUUGUAACUUCUUCCACAACAUGCCGGUCCGGAGGAAGAGGGUGGACCCCGUUCUGGAGGGGGAGCGGAUCAGGCACCGAGUGGAAGCGGUUUCCUUGAUGCAUCCCUCUGUGUCUUUUACCCUGAAGAAUGACUGUACAGGAGCCAUGCUGGUGCAGCUGCCCAAAGCCAGAGACACGUACCACAGGUUCGUGCAGAUUCACAGCCUGGGACGAGCGCAGAAAUUAGGAGAGGUCAGCUACUCACACGGACAGUUUGAAGUGGUUGGUUUUAUCGGCAGAGAGGGACACUACAACAGCAGCUUACAGUUUCUGUAUGUGAACGACCGGCUGCUGCUGAGAACCCGGAUCCACAAGCUGCUGAAUGUCCUCCUGCGCAGACUGAGCACCUCAAAUCAGAAGCACGAGAGUCCAGAAGGGCCGAGUGGCAUCAGCAGCCCAAAGCACAAACGCCGCCAAGAGCUCCACGCAGUCUAUGUCAUCAAUAUCAAAUGCUCCUAUUCAGAGUACGACAUCUGUCUGGAGCCGGCCAAGAGCUUAAUAGAAUUCAAAGACUGGGACGGCGUUUUGCUGUGCGUUGAGGAGGCAGUGAAAGCGUUCCUGAGCCGGGAGAACUUGAUCGCUGUGAUCUCUCAGGAGGAUUAUGACUACGCAUCCCCAAAAUUGUUUGUCUCCAACAAUGGAGAGCAGGAGGGAGAUACAGGUGACCAUGCGACUAGCAGCACUUCUACACAAGACUGCACUGUUGGAAUAAAACUGGCCUCUGAGUUGGUUCAUCGUACGCACAUGGGUGAUAGUGUAUAUAAAAGCAGUGUUUGCCAAGAAUCUGAUCUGACUGGAUUCAACAAAGAGUCUGACAACCUGGAAGAAAAAAGAUUUACUCAGCUGAAAACUAUAAACAGUGAGGGACACGUAAACAAAGAAUGUGGAGAUAAGAACAUUACUGAAGAAGAGGAGCCAUCAGUAACUAAAGCUGGAGACGUCUGUCAGAGUUCAUGUAUGUCAAGUUGGGUUGGACAGACAGAAAGUGAACAACCUUUAAAAGCAGCAGAGACACAUUUGAACAAUACUCAACAGGUUCCGUCUGAGUUAAACACACCUGAGCAAAUACAGCCCUGUGCAGCUGCAGGAGGUCACGGACAGACGUUAGGAGGUUACAAAAAGAUCAGCCUAUCUGAUCCGUAUCAUCACGAAAGUCUUAAAUGUCAGCAAAGGUCUCACAUCAAGAUUCAUCAAGAUGGAUCAAGCUUUCAGCAGAAAAAAGCAUCACAGAACUUUGAGGCGGGAUUCUUAGCACCAAAACGUAAAAUCUCACUGGGAGCAGGGCCAGAGGCGAAGGUUUGCCUUGUUUCUAGUGUUCCCUCAAAUAUUCCCAGAAUUCCAUCUUGUCAGAAGUUGUCUUUAGGUAACGAGCCUGGAUCUCUUGACAAGUUUAGAAGAGUGUUCGUUAAACCAGCGGAGAUGAAAUCCUCCUCGCUGGGAGCUGGUUUAUGGAACAGUGCGGAACCUCCCCAGAUGCAUCCAGAUGAUGUUAACAUUAACAAGGCGUGUUCUGUUCCCCCACGUCCUCCGGGCCGCUCUGCUUUCACUGGGCUACGACAGAACUCAGCUCAGGUCAGAUGCAAAGGGUCUUUGGCAGCUAAACUUUGCUCCCUAAAGCAGGACAGGACGGAGUCAGAUGUGGUACCACAUCUGUCCAGCAGCGCCUCAGAGGACGACACGUGUCUCAAUGACGGUAAUAACAGCCUUCAAGACAGAAAUAACAACGAGGCUCCUCCAGACGCUGCGCUGGGUCCUGAGCCAGUCUCCGGUUGGAGUACGACGCUGGACGAUGAGGAGGAGGAUCCAGCAUCUGGUGACUGGCUUCAUCACUACGACACCUCUGUGGGAAAGACGGUUUACGUCAACAGAUUAACCGGACUCAGCAAAUAUGACGAACCAUCUACUGAAGAAACACAAUUGCGUUGUAUAUCUGAUGUGACUAACAUGGCAGUCAGUGUUGUCAACAACAUGGGAGUGGAGCACAGGUGUUACCCGUUUCAGGUGGAGCUAGUGUUGCCCUUCCUGUCUAAGUCCAGGACAGAAAGAGUCAUUAGUUCAGGGAGAGAUGACAGAGACCGUCGUCUUCAAAGCACCAACUCACUCUCCACCCUGUACUCGACAUGGAAUAAUCCUGUGUUUGUCCGACCUCCUACGGUUGCUGUGGACGUAUCGAGUGGACGAGCUGAUGGACUGGCUGUAAAGAUCCACAACGUCCUGUUUCCAUAUCGCUUCUCUAAGGCCAUGAUUCACACAAUGAAGGUGAUUCAUCAAGUGGAUAAAAAGUUCCUCGCUUGCCUCAUAAAUACAAGAGAUGACGAACCGGCAGCAAACGCUGAAGGAAACCUUUUGGUUUUGGUGGAUCAACAUGCUGCACACGAGAGAGUUCGACUUGAAGGUCUAGUUGCAGAUUCCUAUGAAGACGACCCUGAAGCUCCAGGGGAGAGACGCUUGUGCUCCUCAACCAUCUCGCCACCGCUUGUGAUCAGCGUCACAGAGGAGGAGCUGCGGCUGCUUCAGUCUCGUCAGGCCCAUUUGAGGAGUUUGGGCCUGGACGUGAAGUUCUCACACGCAGCAGAUCCACAGGUUCUUGUAGGGAAAGUGCCGCUGUGCUUCAUGGAGAAGGAGCGUAAUGAGGUCAGACGAGGCCGAGCCUCUGUCAUCAGGCCUCUGGUGGAGGUUUAUCUGCAGGAGCAGAUUGAACUGCUGCACUCCGCCGGUAGAGUGGGAGGAACUUUGCCCCUCGCCGUCCUCAACGUGUUAGCCUCCCUAGCAUGCCAUGGUGCUAUUAAAUUCAAUCACAGCCUGAGCAGAGAUGAAUGCUUCAGCCUAGUAGCAUCGCUGUCCUCCUGCCAGCUGCCCUUCCAGUGUGCCCACGGCCGUCCUUCCAUCGCCCCCCUAGUCGACAUCCUCCAUUUGGACAAAGACCAGAAGGAAUCACAAAGACCCAACCUCCAAAGGCUGAGGCGGAUGUACAGAGCUUGGGAGCUGUGCGGAAAUGGAUGAGUGUGUGUGUGUUUAAUAUUAAAUGUGUGUGUGUUUAAUAAUAAAUGUGAAGUUUACUGUAAAAAAAACACCAGUAAUUAAACAACUGAAAGAUCAGAUGUCACAUGAGCUGAACUUCUAAUUCAGAUGAAGAGUUUAGUAUUUCGGUUGAUUCUUGCGUUAUGUUCAGUUUGACGGACUCUAUGGGACUUUUUACUUUGCUGCUAUUUGUGCAAUUGACUUGAAUAUUAACUGCAUUUGCCAACAUACUUUUAUUUAUUACGCCAUUCAGAUUUUAAGAGUUGUUAUUCAGCCAUUACAGACCUGCAACAGCAAACGGGUGGUGAUGUUGAGUUGGUUUAGCAUGAAGCAUUUUUCACCCUGCUCUCCAGACAAAAGCUGCUUCAUGCACCUUUUGCUCUCCCACGUCUCUCUCGUGGCAUUAAAACCCCACGGAGCCCGUUUUAUGCAGCCCGGUCCGGUCCGGUUCGGUUCGGGCGGACGUGCUGCGGUGCUGCUGCUGUGUGGGAGUGAAGGACGAGGCCGCCGUGCCUCCUGUCACACGUUUCCUCCGCCCCCUUCUCACCGCCUCCUCCCCGAGUAAACAAUCCGGCAUCGCUCCAUCAUGGAGGUGGAUCCUGACGGGCUCCGUGUUCUACUACGGUCUAAUAAAGCAGCAUUAACGUCAA